rnacentral:rRNA from 1 species
UGGGGAAUAUUGCACAAUGGGCGCAAGCCUGAUGCAGCCAUGCCGCGUGUAUGAAGAAGGCCUUCGGGUUGUAAAGUACUUUCAGCGAGGAGGAAGGCGUUGUGGUUAAUAACCGCAGCGAUUGACGUUACUCGCAGAAGAAGCACCGGCUAACUCCGUGCCAGCAGCCGCGGUAAUACGGAGGGUGCAAGCGUUAAUCGGAAUUACUGGGCGUAAAGCGCACGCAGGCGGUCUGUCAAGUCGGAUGUGAAAUCCCCGGGCUCAACCUGGGAACUGCAUCCGAAACUGGCAGGCUAGAGUCUUGUAGAGGGGGGUAGAAUUCCAGGUGUAGCGGUGCAAUGCGUAGAGAUCUGGAGGAAUACCGGUGGCGAAGGCGGCCCCCUGGACAAAGACUGACGCUCAGGUGCGAAAGCGUGGGGAGCAAACA